rfam:Microvirga sp. V5/3M, complete genome.
CUGCCAGGCCGGGCCCCUCUGGUCGCUUCUCUGCGAAGCGGCGAUGUCGGACUGGAUGA